GAACCGGUGCUUCUGAUUGGGGGCGGCUGGGAAGCUCUUAGCUGCUGAUUGGUUAGCUGUAUGUGGCCCCGCCCCCGCGCACCGUUCCCUUCAGAGGGCCGCAGCCCGCCCCGACCGGUCCAUGGCGUUGUGCGGGUGGUGCUCUGUGGGUGCUUGUACAGGCACCGGUACGACCGAGCCCGGGGUCGCCACCACCCGGAGUCGCCGCUCCGGGCAGCGGAAUGCUGCAGCCCUUUAAGGCUCCGGUUGAUUCUCCCGGAAGCCGCCUGACGAGAGCAGCUCCCGGGAUUUCUUCCGUCCAGUGACGUCACUCCUGGCCUCGGGGGCGCUGCGCGUGCGCCUGGCGUCGUACGCGCUUCCCGCUGCCCUGAGGGUGGUGAGGUGGUGGUGCUGCGCUUCGCCGAGCGGAGCGGGUGUGAGCUCCAUAGCUUGGUGUCACCUGGGAUUUGUGAACGCACACAAUAAAAAUGCCUUUACCCGGUAAAAGCCCCUGAGUGCGCACGAGGCCCAAGGGGCGCUGUGCCGUCGUUCCUUUAAGCGAUGGCCGCGGUCAGUCUGACCAGCGGCAGGUCAGGCGGGGACGCCUUCCCUGGGCCGGGCAGAUGGAACACACGCCCUGCCCACGGAACGGCCGGAUUGGAGCUCUUUUCAAUGCUCUCUCAAAUGAGAGGAAUUGGGUUUUCCCCGUCGGACUGGACAUAAUUGCCUUCUCGUAGUAUAAUGAACAUGGUGAAGGGUCUGGAGGGGAAGCCGUUUGUGGAGUACCUUUUGUGUUACUACCUCAUUGUACCUCAUGCCUUUUGUGGUAUGAGGUCACUUGGGUUGAUCAGCCUGGAGGAGACUGAAGUCAGACACUGUGGUCUUGGAGCUUCCUCAUGAGGGCCAGUGGAGGGGCAGACACUGAUCUCUGCUCUGGUGACUAGUGAUGGGACUUGGGAAUGGCUGAAGUUGUGUCAGGAGACGUAUGGGUUGGAUAUAAGGAAAAGAUUCUUCCCCAGAGGGUGGUUGGGCACUGAAGAGGCUCCCCAAGGAAGUGAUCACAACACAGCCUGACAGAGCUCAAGGAAUCUUUGGACACAGCUUUCAGGCACAUGGUGAGAUUUGUGGGACUGUCCUGUGUAGGACCAGGAGCUGGACUCAGUCAUUGUGGGUCCUUUACAACUAAGGAUUUUCUAAUUCUGUUUCCGUUUUUUUCAGCAACAUUAGUGAUGGCAAUUUCAGUAUUGCAGCUUACCAGUCUUGCACAGAUGCCCCCACAAAUACUGUGGUAACUGAUGUGAUCUGUAUGGUAGGACUGCAUAAAGAAAUCUUUAUAAGUUCUAACCAGUAUAGUAUGAGGAUUUAACUACUACUAAUCAAGACAGGAAAGAAUGCAUCCAAUUAGUAGUUUAUCAGGUGAAGUUAUGCUGAUGGAAAGUUCCUUGACCUGGUGAGGCCUAAAACAUUAAUUAUUAAUAAAUUAAUGUAUUAAACAUUGUUCCAGUCGAAUUACAUUAGAGGGGCUGUGUCUAAAUUGUUGAAGCUUUGCCUUGAGGCUUUUCUCAGCUCCAAAGAGUGAAUUGCCUCCUGCUGAUCUCAGCUCUGUUAUUCUUGAGACUAAGUGCGACAAUUCAAUCACAGAAGUCAGUUUUUAAAUAGUCAGUGUUUAAGUGUAUAGCACGGCAUUUAACGGAUCCCUAAGAGUCAUGGUGAAAUUGGACUUUUGCUUACUGCAGGAUCUAAAGGGACAUGAGAGAAAACAGAAAAAAAGAUCAUGCAUAGAACAACAGUUACACCCAUGGAUCAUAAACCAUGAAAUAGACCAUAAAAAUGGUAUUACAUAAAUCAUGCCACUGAUUUUUCCAAGCCUGCUGAUAGGAUUUGUUGCAUACUGUUCACCUGGAGAGAAUGGCCUGUUGGGAAUUCCUGACUAUUUUUGGGAAUACUUCAGACUGCAAAUGUGAGCUUGAAAGUCACAUCAGGUAUAGACAAUCAUGAUGUUAGUGCUGACAGUUCUCUGGUUCAAUUACUUCUCAUCCCAACCACUCUGCAAAAGCAAAGAAGCAAAGUAGGAGAUGAUUCCACAGAGACUUGGAGAUAAGAGAUUCAGAACCUACUUGACAAGUGACACAUACUCUGUUCUUCAGCACUAUUUAGCACCUUUUUGAUCUUACAUGUCUUAAGAUAUAAGUUUUCCUAUACUCACUUUUUUCCUACUCCUAAAUUCUCUAGCUAAUCCCUGUGUUCCCUACCCCUUGGUACUUCCAGGGAUUUUUUGACCCUCAACAAUCAAUUCAGUAACUUCCCAGUUCCCUAAGCAGUCUGGAUGAUGUUUAAAGACCAAGGGUUUUUAAUAAGAGGGUUCUUGUGCAGAUUAGCCUGGAACAAUAGAGGGCUACAUUCUAGCCAGCUUUCCUUUGAUGUUCACAUUACUUAGGGAUUUUAUCCUGAUGGGUUCAGUUGCUAUAAAAUUGCACAGCUGAGGGAGUACAAGAAAGACAGGUCCUGACCAGACCAAUACAGUAUUCACUGUUGACAGGGUGAAGAAUUAAACUAAGAGAUGAACAAAUAAACAGUUAACAAAAAAAUUUCAUUUUAUUUACAAGCAAUUUAAACUAUUUAAAGACAAUGAAAAGCCAGUAGACAUGGUAGAAGUUACACAUAACUGUGAAUUUCUUUUUCUUCUCUCUUAAAUGAAAUGUAGUCUGUGGUCUCUCUAAAUCCACGUCCUGUCUCCACCCUGGAUACUGCAUUCAAUUCUGCAGCCUCCCCCCAGUCUCAGUAAAAAUAGAACUGGAAGAAGAUUCAGAAAUGGUUGACAAGGACAAAGGCAUAGAAAUGGGAUUUCAUAACUGAAUUAAAAUAGUAGGAAAGUAUGAAAAGGGCACUGCUUCUGUUUGUGGCAAAGCUGUCUAGAUAAUAAAAGCAGGCAAAAUCUCAAGUCUGUUUGAAUUCAGUAUAGAUGAUUUCCUCAGUGCAUUUGCAUCUCUUGGUGAUAUAUUGAAAAAAUUAUUAUCAAUUAAUUUGUUAUUGCAGAACAGGCCUAUUGCCUUCCCUGCCUACAGGCCAUAGUUUCAUAAAAACCUUUAGGCAAAAGGAAGUGAUACUGGAGUCUCCUUCCCUGGCAGGGUGGAACUGCUAAUUUGAAGGUGUCUCCUAUCACAUCACAUCACAUCACAGUAUUAGAAUCAUGUAGGUGGCGAGGGACUUCUGCAGGUUUUGUAGUCCAGCUUUCUCCUCAUGGCAGGUUCCAUUAAAGCAGGUUGCUUUUAGUCGUGUUCAAUUGAAUUAUGUAUAUCUUGAAGGAUGGAGCUGCCAUCGCCUUUCAGGGCAAAUCGUUUCCAUAUCUGAUCCUUAAAAAAUAAAUAAAUAAUUGUUUCCUAUAUUGAA